AUUGAUUCGGGGUAAUGUCAAUCAUUGCGCUAAAGCUCUUUACCGACGCUGCACGUUAUUCUGCACGUUAACUCAUUCUGAGUUCAAUCUCUAGUCUAGAUGGUGUUCGAUUACUUUUGUUUUGCCUCGUGCAGCCUGUAGGGGAAUAGCGUGCUUGCCGUCUCCUCGGCCAUUUCAACUUUGGACUUCAACUCUCUAUACAGUGUCUCCUCUGCACGGUCCAGGGCCUCCAUGGUGUGGAGGGGCAGCUCCAAGGGCUCCAAGGAGGCCAGUCCCACAGACACAGUCUGUCCACACUUGCAGGAGUGGACGUAUUGCCUGAAUUCCUCCCGCAGGUCCUUCACCUCCUUGGACAACUCCGUCACCGCAGUCAGCAGUUUCUGCAUAGCCACAUCUAUUUGAAUGUAAAAGCUGACGCCCUUUUACUUAAAAAUUUCAGAAAGUGUUGAACAACUUUUGAAGAGUUAUAUAUAUUUAAGCAAUGCCAUUGGUUUAAGCUAAUUGUUGAUAGAUGGUACAUCCUUCAAUGAUUCAAAGAAUUGAGGAAACAUUUACACAUGAAUGAAAGCCUAGAAAUAGCCUUAGAACAUAACAUUCCUGUACUUGCCUUUUAAUGCCAUUCUGGCAGUGCCUGGAGAAUCUGUAACAAGUAUGAAGAGAGAAAUUAAACCAUUUGACUGGAUAUACUGCAGUUGUUUUGGAUGUUUGAAUUGACAUGAAUUACUUCAAACAUACCUUCAGGAGAUGGCCUCUGGAAUUGAGGCAUUGGACCGGGUGGAGGGUAGGCCAAUUCAUCUCCUGGGAACGCUAUUGGGAUAGGGACAUUGGGGUUAGGGAAAUUGGGGCGUUGGAGGCUAUAAUGCAUCUUUGGAGGUGAUGGUUGGCUGUCCUGACUGGCUUGUUGGGUUGCUGGUUUGUCUAAAGAAAAAAAAAGAUGUGGGGGGCCGGGAAAGGUGGUUAGGGGCUGAUCUGUGCGUAAUAGACAGACAGAGAGACAGAGGCUAACUAUACCUGGAAAUAACACUUUGGGGGCUUGGGCGAAUCUGCAAGUUGUUAGUAGAAAUGAAAUAA
ensembl:lncRNA